UAAAGUUGCGUGGCGGGAGCGGCGGUAAGACGAAGGGUGUAUUCGGGAAUCGGAAUUAUGGGGCGUAGAGCGGUCGUAGGUGGUUCGGUAAGUCUGAUGGGAGAGCCCUGGGCUCAACCUGGGAAUGGCAUUUGAUACUGGCGGGCUAGGGUGCGGUAGAGGGCAGUGGAAUUCCCGGUGUAGCAGUGAAAUGCGUAGAGAUCGGGAGGAACAUCUGUGGCGAAGGCGACUGCCUGGACCAGCACUGACACUGAGGCACGAAAGCGUGGGGAGCAAACAGGAUUAGAUACCCGAGUAGUC
rnacentral:rRNA from 1 species